AUACAGAUGAAGAGUCUCAAAUAAGACGAAAUGCGCAUCCUUAAAU
rnacentral:hammerhead_ribozyme from 1 species